UACGGAGGGUGCAAACGUUGCUCGGAAUCAUUGGGCGUAAAGCGCACGUAGGCGGCCUGUUAAGUCGGAUGUGAAAGCCCCGGGCUCAACCCGGGAAGUGCAUUCGAAACUGGCGGGCUUGAAUAUGGAAGAGGGUCGCGGAAUUCCCGGUGUAGAGGUGAAAUUCGUAGAUAUCGGGAGGAACACCAGUGGCGAAGGCGGCGACCUGGGCCAAUAUUGACGCUGAGGUGCGAAAGCGUGGGGAGCGAACAGG
rnacentral:rRNA from 1 species